rnacentral:misc_RNA from 1 species
UGGAAAUCCCCUAAUCUCUC